rnacentral:rRNA from 1 species
AGUGAACGCUGGCGGUAGGCCUAACACAUGCAAGUCGAACGGCAGCACAGUAAGAGCUUGCUCUUACGGGUGGCGAGUGGCGGACGGGUGGGAAAUACAUCGGAAUCUACUUUUUCGUGGGGGAUAACGGCGGGAAACUUACGCUAAUACCGCAUACGACCUACGGGUGGAAUCAUGGGUUCUUCGGACCUUGCGCGACUGAAUGAGCCGAUGUCGGAUUAGCUAGUUGGCGGGGUAAAGGCCCACCAAGGCGACGAUCCGUAGCUGGUCUGAGAGGAUGAUCAGCCACACUGGAACUGAGACACGGUCCAGACUCCUACGGGAGGCAGCAGUGGGGAAUAUUGGACAAUGGGCGCAAGCCUGAUCCAGCCAUACCGCGUGGGUGAAGAAGGCCUUCGGGUUGUAAAGCCCUUUUGUUGGGAAAGAAAAGCAGCAGGUUAAUACCCCGCUGUUCUGACGGUACCCAAAGAAUAAGCACCGGCUAACUUCGUG